rnacentral:misc_RNA from 1 species
UACGAAGGGGGCAAGCGUUAUUCGGAAUUAUUGGGUGUAAAGGGCGCGUAGGCGGUGUAAAAAGUCUGUAGUGUAAUUCUCUGGCCUAACUGGAGCACUGCUAUAGAUACUAUUACGCUAGAGUAUGGAAGAGAGAAGUGGAAUUCUCGGAGUAGCGGUAAAAUGCGUAGAUCUCGAGAGGAACGCCAAUGGCGAAGGCAGCUUCUUGGUACAUUACUGACGCUGAGGCGCGAAGGCGUGGGGAGCAAACAGG